rnacentral:rRNA from 1 species
UACGGGGGGGGCAAGCGUUGUUCGGAAUUACUGGGCGUAAAGGGCUCGUAGGCUGCCAACUAAGUCGAACGUGAAAUCCCCGGGCUCAACCCGGGAACUGCGUCCGAUACUGGAAGGCUUGAAUCCGGGAGAGGGAUGCGGAAUUCCAGGUGUAGCGGUGAAAUGCGUAGAUAUCUGGAGGAACACCGGUGGCGAAGGCGGCAUCCUGGACCGGCAUUGACGCUGAGGCGCGAAAGCCAGGGGAGCAAACGGG